rnacentral:rRNA from 1 species
UACGGAGGGUGCGAGCGUUGUCCGGAAUCAUGGUGCGUAAAGGGCGCGUAGGUGGCCAUGUAGGUCCGGUGUGAAAACUCGAGGCUUAACCUCGAGAUGUCAUCGGAAACCAUUUGGCUAGAGUCCGGAAGAGGAGAGUGGAAUUCCUGGUGUAGCGGUGAAAUGCGCAGAUAUCAGGAAGAACACCAAUGGCGAAAGCAGCUCUCUGGGACGGUACUGACGCUGAGACGCGAAAGCGUGGGGAGCGAACAGG